rnacentral:rRNA from 1 species
GGAUAUUGGUCAAUGGGGGAAACCCUGAACCAGCAACGCCGCGUGAGGGAAGACGGUUUUCGGAUUGUAAACCUCUGUCCUCUGUGAAGAUAAUGACGGUAGCAGAGGAGGAAGCUCCGGCUAACUACGUGCCAGCAGCCGCGGUAAUACGUAGGGAGCGAGCGUUAUCCGGAAUUAUUGGGCGUAAAGGGUGCGUAGAUGGCACAAAAAGUCUUGUGUAAAAAUGCUAGGCUCAACCUAGUAGAGCAAAAGAUACUUUUGAGCUAGAGUAUGGCAGAGGCAAGUGGAACUACAUGUGUAGCGGUAAAAUGCGUAAAUAUAUGUAAGAACACCAGUGGCGAAGGCGGCUUGCUGGGCCGAUACUGACAUUGAGGCACGAAAGCGUGGGGAGCAAACAG